CAAGUCGAGCGAGAAGACGUAGCAAUACGUUUGUAAAGCGGCGAACGGGUGAGGAAUACAUGGGUAACCUACCCUCGAGUGGGGAAUAACUAGCCGAAAGGUUAGCUAAUACCGCGUACGCUUCUUGGACUUCGGUUCAGGGAGGAAAGCGAUACCGUGGGUAUCGCGCUCUUGGAUGGGCUCAUGUCCUAUCAGCUUGUUGGUGAGGUAAUGGCUCACCAAGGCUUCGACGGGUAGCUGGUCUGAGAGGACGAUCAGCCACACUGGCACUGCGACACGGGCCAGACUCCUACGGGAGGCAGCAGUAAGGAAUAUUGCGCAAUGGGCGAAAGCCUGACGCAGCGACGCCGCGUGGGGGAUGAAGGUCUUCGGAUUGUAAACCCCUUUCGGGAGGGAAGAUGGAAUGGGGUAACCCAUUCGGACGGUACCUCCAGAAGCAGCCACGGCUAACUUCGUGCCAGCAGCCGCGGUAAUACGAAGGUGGCAAGCGUUGUUCGGAUUUACUGGGCGUACAGGGAGCGUAGGCGGUUCGGUAAGCCCUCUGUGAAAUCUCCAGGCUUAACCUGGAACAGUCGGAGGGGACUGCCGGGCUAGAGGACGGGAGAGGAGCGCGGAAUUCCCGGUGUAGCGGUGAAAUGCGUAGAGAUCGGGAGGAAGGCCGGUGGCGAAGGCGGCGCUCUGGAACGUUUCUGACGCUGAGGCUCGAAAGCGUGGGGAGCAAACAGGAUUAGAUACCCUGGUAGUCCACGCCUUAAACUAUGAAUACUAAGUGUCGGCAGGUUACCGCCGGUGCCGCAGCUAACGCAUUAAGUAUUCCGCCUGGGAAGUACGGCCGCAAGGUUGAAACUCAAGGAAUUGACGGGGCCCGCACAA
rnacentral:rRNA from 1 species